GCUAGCUAAAGAGAGUUCUUCAAUCUGAAAGAAAAAGACCUUAAUGGGCAUUAAGAACUCAUCUGAAGGUAUAAAACUCACUGGUAAUACAGGUCGUAAGACCCUCAUUCAAGAGGUACCUUCCCUAUACCCAGAGGAAAGAAGCAUUCUUAUCUUCAAAGACACAGAAAUGUCAAGAGGAAUCUGAACAAACAGGCUUUGCUAAGUUCUUCUCAAUUACUACCGUUAGAUCAUACCACCGUUGUCCAAUCCUACUUGCUCAUGUCCAUCCAUCUCAUCAAACCCAGCAUUAAAAAUAAACAAGUUUAC
rnacentral:lncRNA from 1 species